rfam:Ipomoea nil DNA, scaffold: scaffold0715, cultivar: Tokyo-kokei standard.
GGGCAUUUAGUCUAGUGGUAUGAUUCUUGCUUAAGGUGUGAGAGGUUUUGAGUUCAAUUCUCGGAAUGCCCC